rnacentral:tmRNA from 1 species
UGGCGUACAUACACUUGAAUUCUUCCCCCGCAUCUCCUACUAUGCCGGGUAUGGUUGUAAUUCCGGCUAGCUGGAGACGUUUUGGACAGGGGUUCGAUUCCCCUCACCUCCACCAAAACGCAGUUUUCUUAAAUGUUAAGUGUGUUUCGGUGGGGGUGUACCGGUUUCGACAGGGCGGGCAAAGGUGCGCAGGCAACCCGAGAGGCGACGGACGUAAUCCGCGCAAAUCCAUAAACGCCAAUGAUGAGCGUUUCGCAGUCGCUGCUUAAGCUGAUUGCCGGGGCCGCUGAAGCCUUGUAACCCAAGAAAGCCGGUGGGAACUUCGGUUCCCAUCGUCA